UUUAGGCUGUUUUUGGCUUGAAGGUGGGGUUUCACUGGGGACCCACCCCUAUCUUCCUAGGAUUUCUUUGCCUCCUGCCUCUAUUAAUUUGCAAGCAACACAAGCUCAUGAAGGGGCUCCAGUCCCUCUCCAGAUUCCAGGGCUUUGUGGUGUGGCAGGAUGAGUGGCCACACUUGAAAGACUCAGGAGACAGCGAGGUUUAACCUAAAGCCAUGAGCUGGGAAUCCACUCAAGCAGGAGGCUGAAAAUGCAAAUAUAGGAAAGUACAGUGACUGUGGAGUGGGGAUGCUGCAAGGCAGCCCGCACCCUUUGCCUCUGAAAUAACUACUUUUUGGAGGUGCCAGAGGAGAGAAUCGGUGGAGCGCCCUCCUGGAGUGGGAUCACAGCACCACCCAAGCCUAGAAUCGUCAUCUUCUGGCCUACAGCACCCAGUAUUCCCAGGCAGUCUUCCAUCUAAGGACUAACCAGGCUUUAUCUUGCUUAGCUUCCAAGGCCAGGGCUCUGCUUGCUCCAUUGGUUGCCAAAUCCACAUCUGGAUUUUCCUGUUCACUGGGCCCGUUUCGACUCAUGAUUUGCUUUGGACUUUCCACUUGGUUCUAUGCAUUGCUCUCUGUGAUGAUCCUGGUGGUUCAGCCUCUGCAUUUUGACACAGAAAGCCCCUGGUAGCAGUAUGGAUGGCCAUGUUGGCCUGGACCUGAAGAACACUGAAUCUCACCCACCAGGAACUGGACUCCCAAACUCCUGGCUGCUGACUCCAGGAAUUCCUAUAGCUAUAAAUGUCUACAUUGUUUUAUUUUGAUUCCACUUUGUUUAUUUGGAUCUGUGUA
rnacentral:lncRNA from 1 species